AUCCAGUUGACGAGUCCCAAAUAGGACGAAACCCACAUCCCGGAU
rnacentral:hammerhead_ribozyme from 1 species